rnacentral:rRNA from 1 species
CGGGGUAGGAGUAACGCGUGAGGAACCUGCCUCAAAGAGGGGGACAACAAGUUGGAAACGACUGCUAAUACCGCAUAAGCCCACGGCUCGGCAUCGAGCAGAGGGAAAAGGAGUGAUCCGCUUUGAGAUGGCCUCGCGUCCGAUUAGCUAGUUGGUGAGGUAACGGCCCACCAAGGCAACGAUCGGUAGCCGGACUGAGAGGUUGAACGGCCACAUUGGGACUGAGACACGGCCCAG